rnacentral:rRNA from 1 species
AGAGUUUGAUCCUGGCUCAGGAUGAACGCUAGCGACAGGCUUAACACAUGCAAGUCGAGGGGCAGCAUAAAAGUAGCAAUACUUUGGUGGCGACCGGCGCACGGGUGAGUAACGCGUAUGCAACCUACCUAUCAGAGGGGAAUAACCCGGCGAAAGUCGGACUAAUACCGCAUAAAACAGGGGCACCGCAUGGUGAUAUUUGUUAAAGAAAUUCGCUGAUAGAUGGGCAUGCGUUCCAUUAGGUAGUUGGUGAGGUAACGGCUCACCAAGCCGACGAUGGAUAGGGGAACUGAGAGGUUGGUCCCCCACACUGGUACUGAGACACGGACCAGACUCCUACGGGAGGCAGCAGUGAGGAAUAUUGGUCAAUGGGCGGGAGCCUGAACCAGCCAAGUCGCCGUGAAGGAAGAAGGAUCUAUGGUUCGUAAACUUCUUUUGCAGGGGAAUAAAGUGCAGGACGUGUCCUGUUUUGUAUGUACCCUGAGAAUAAGGAUCGGCUAACUCCGUGCCAGCCGCGGC